GAUUAAACCCCUCCUACUUCUUGUAUUUUAUUACAAUUUUGAUUGAGUGAGGGAACGCACGUCGAAGAAAAAGCGAACAUUCAACAAUUUUUCUUAAGAAAAUUUAAAAAAUAUAACUAUAGAAUAAUUAGGUUACAUAUAACU
rnacentral:sRNA from 1 species